rnacentral:rRNA from 1 species
CAGUCGCCGCGGUAAUACGAAGGGGGCUAGCGUUGCUCGGAAUGACUGGGCGUAAAGGGCGCGUAGGCGGUUUGCCAAGUUAGAUGUGAAAUUCCCGGGCUUAACCUGGGGACUGCAUUUGAUACUGGCAGGCUUGAGUGUGGAAGAGGGUCGUGGAAUUCCCAGUGUAGAGGUGAAAUUCGUAGAUAUUGGGAAGAACACCGGUGGCGAAGGCGGCGACCUGGUCCAUAACUGACGCUGAGGCGCGAAAGCGUGGGGAGCAAACAGGAUUAGAUACCCCCGUAGUCCCUGUCUCUUAUAU